GCGAUGUGCUCCGGAGUCGACAUCACUGGGUUGUAGCGGGUAUCUCCCCAGAGGACGGUCCCACCGGGUUGUAGCGGGUAUCUCCCCGGUUAAUGGGAUUUUGGGUUGGUGAGUUUGUUGAGGGCGAAACCUUCGAGUUAGCCAAGAGAUUGGGUAACAAGCACAUGAGUUGUAAUAAUAUCCUAGUUGAGUGGACUUAAGGCUGAGGUGCAAGUGAGACGUCCUUCGCCUCGAGCCUGCCUUUGCGCGGUACUCCGCGAAUGAUUGACUCAAGACCGAGUCGGGUGGAUAGUUGAUAAAGGUAAAUGAGACCUUAUGAUUAAAAUGGUAAAUGACAGAAAACCUUAAAUGUCAAUUGGAUGAAAGUAGUAAUCGAUUGAAUUACUAGUUGAUUGUAUAGUCGCAUCAUUGCACGAUCUUCAUAUUGCAUUAGUGAGGCAAUGCAUAGUUUCAUUUGUUGCAUAAUCAAGAUAUAUAUCUAUCUGUUAUUGAACUAACUUGCUGUUGCCUCCCUUGGACCUAUUGGUCGAGCUUUUUCCUUGGGUGGCCGUACCCACUGGGAACCAUGGAGUUGGUUCUCACCCCACGUGGUUUUGGGGUAUUACAGGUUCACACGUGAGCGGCGCGGCGGCGCGAGGCGAUGGCGUAGCUCCAUAGUUAGCGCCCUACCACCUAGACCAGAGAUAGUGGUACCCUGAGUCGGCCUUUACUUAGGGAUGUAAGAAAAUGAAGAGAAUCAAGUUGUAAUAAUUUGUAAUAAAAGCUCGAUUGUAUUUGGAAGUUAAAUGUAAUAAGUAAUUGUGAUGUAAAAUGUAUUUAGUGAAUGUGAAUGCUUGUAAUAACAAGUAGAUUAUGUUUUUGAUACUUCCUUAUGCAAUCUCUGAUUGAAAUGUGUUCCUGGUUGGAACUUUAUACAUUGUAUUGAUUGCGACGCCUUGAAUGUACAGGGGAGACUCUGUCCGCGAUACAGGGGAAACCCUGUCCGUUCGGCGGUCUGU
rnacentral:lncRNA from 1 species